UUAGGGGGUUUCCGCCCCUUAGUGCUGCAGCUAACGCAUUAAGCACUCCGCCUGGGGAGUACGGCCGCAAGGCUGAAACUCAAAGGAAUUGACGGGGGCCCGCACAAGCGGUGGAGCAUGUGGUUUAAUUCGAUGCAACGCGAAGAACCUUACCUGGUCUUGACAUAUCUAGAAUCCUGCAGAGAUGCGGGAGUGCCUUCGGGAAUUAGAAUACAGGUGCUGCAUGGCUGUCGUCAGCUCGUGUCGUGAGAUGUUGGGUUAAGUCCCGCAACGAGCGCAACCCUUGUCCUUAGUUACCAGCGGGUUAAGCCGGGAACUCUAAGGAUACUGCCAGUGACAAACUGGAGGAAGGCGGGGACGACGUCAAGUCAUCAUGGCCCUUACGACCAGGGUUUUUACACGUGCUACAAUGGUAGGUACAGAGGGCAGCUACACAGCGAUGUGAUGCGAAUCUUUCAAAGCCUAUCGUAGUCCAGAUUGGAGUCUGCAACUCGACUCCAUGAAGUAGGAAUCGCUAGUAAUCGCGGAUCAGAAUGCCGCGGUGAAUACGUUCCCGGGCCUUUGUACACUCCGCC
rnacentral:rRNA from 1 species